rnacentral:lncRNA from 1 species
AGGAGGAGGCAGGGGCUGGGGGACCAGGCUUGGGUACCUUCAGGAACAGGGUAUCUGGAUCCCCAGGGGCCAGAGGGAAGACCAGGCUUCAGGAAUGAAGGGGUUACAGUUACCCAAGUGUCACCUGAGCUGGGCGUCAAGUUUCCUGGGUGCUGCCUCCGCCCCGGUUGGGGGAGGGGAAGGGGACGGCUGGGCCUCCCUGAGGAGACGCCCCCAGUCCUGGGUGAGAAGGGGCCUUUCCUGGGACAGGAAGCGGGAAUAAAUGGGAAGCUCGUCCAGGCGGGAGGUGGGGGCCCAGCAGAAUGCGGCGCCCCGAGGCGCCCCAGGCCGGCGCCGGACUCCCGCCAUUCCCCUGCCCCUUCGCCCCCCCCGUCAGGCCCCUCCUCGACGCCCGGAACCUUCCUGCCCCCAGCAGCAGAUGCCUGGACCUUGGCCCCUGCUGGGAGCGGCUGCGGGCCCGGCCUGACUCGGCCGCUGCAGGUGUUUGAGGACCCUGCCUGGAUCCAGGAUUCAGAUUCAGACACUGACUCAGAAGGGCCCCGGGCUGCCCCAGGGGGUCUGGGCCCAAGGGUUGGGAUUGGGGGUGAGAGGAGUGGUCUCCCGCUGGAAGGUCCCGUAGCUGAGCUGGAAUGGGACCCCACGGGGGAUGUGGGGUGGCUGGGUACCUUCAGGAGCAGGAGAGGCUGGACACCGGGCUCCCCCUGUGAAGUGUGCGGACACAUGGAGCCCCUGGGGGCGUGGUCCCUCCAGCCGUGGGGCGCCCCCCGGGCUGUGGCCCCCCCGGACAGGAAGCAGCCCAGCCCCCGGGAUGUGACCGUCCAGAUCCACAAGGAGGGGGAAGAGCCAGCCGGGGGUGCUCAGCCCCCCCGCGCCCGCCGCCCCCUCCUCUUUGUGCUGCUCCUGCUGCUCCUUGGGGUGGCGUGCCUCCUGCCGCCCCCCAGGGGGCCUCACUGCCCCCCUCCACGGCUCCCCGGGUCCCUGCACCUGGUCCUCAGCUAUGUCAACGGCCCGCCCCCAACCUGA